UACGUAGGCAGCGAGCGUUGUUCGGAAUUACUGGGCGUAAGGAGUGUGUAGGCGGUGCUCUAAGUUUGGUGUGAAAUCUCCCGGCUCAACUGGGAGGGUGCGCCGAAUACUGAAUGACUAGAGUGCGGGAGAGGAAAGUGGAAUUCCUGGUGUAGCGGUGAAAUGCGUAGAUAUCAGGAGGAACACCGGUGGUGUAGACGGCUUUCUGGACCGUAACUGACGCUGAGACACGAAAGCGUGGGUAGCAAACAGG
rnacentral:rRNA from 1 species